rnacentral:rRNA from 1 species
UGGGGGAUAUUGCACAAUGGGGGAACCCUGAUGCAGCGACGCCGCGUGGGUGAAGGAGUGCUUCGGCAUGUAAAGCCCUAUCGGCAGGGAAGAAUAUGACGGUACCUGACUAAGAAGCCCCGGCUAACUACGUGCCAGCAGCCGCGGUAAUACGUAGGGGGCAAGCGUUAUCCGGAUUCACUGGGUGUAAAGGGAGCGUAGACGGCCAUGCAAGCCUGGAGUGAAAGCCCGGGGCCCAACCCCGGGACUGCUCUGGGAACUGCAUGGCUGGAGUGCGGGAGGGGCAGGCGGAAUUCCUGGUGUAGCGGUGAAAUGCGUAGAUAUCAGGAGGAACACCGGCGGCGAAGGCGGCCUGCUGGACCGCGACUGACGUUGAGGCUCGAAAGCGUGGGGAGCGAACAGGAUUAGAUACC